UACAGAGGUCUCAAGCGUUGUUCGGAUUCAUUGGGCGUAAAGGGUGCGUAGGUGGCGCGCUAAGUCAGGUGUGAAAUUUCGGAGCUUAACUCCGAAACUGCAUUUGAUACUGGCGUGCUUGAGGACUGGGGAGGAGACUGGAAUUCAUGGUGUAGCAGUGAAAUGCGUAGAGAUCAUGAGGAAGACCAGUGGCGAAGGCGGGUCUCUGGACAGUUCCUGACACUGAGGCACGAAGGCCAGGGGAGCAAACGGG
rnacentral:rRNA from 1 species